AGGAGGAUUAACAUCGCCGCAUGCCUCACCUUACUCGUUCAAUCACGCUCCAGUCUGAAUCCAGGCUAUACAAGGGGAUGAAGCACAGAUCGGUCCUCUUUGACGUCCGAGACCUCGGCAAGAUGGACGACCGAGAUCUCAUGCCGCCGC